rnacentral:lncRNA from 1 species
CAGAGACACAGGCAGAGGGAGAAGCAGGCUCCCUGCAAGGAGCCUGAUGUGGGACUUGAUCCCAGGACCCCAGGAUCACACCCUGAGCUGAAGGAAGCUGCUCAACCACUGAGCCACCCUGGCAUCUCAAAGGAUGACUUUAUGGAUUGUUCUUGUACAUUGGAUAUGGUGUGAUGAAGGUAACAUGUUAAAUGAAGAGUUAGUACUACUGCAGAUGGAAAUAUCUGGAAUACCUGUAAAAACAUGAAACCGAUCUUGAAUAGUUUAACAAAUGAAGUCCAAAGAAAAAUGGAAAUGAAAGCUAAGGCAGAUCCCAUGGCCAAGCCCAGACUGAAGUGGCGCAGGAGUAGACUCCAUUUCUGGACUGGAAGAGCCGCAGGUAGAAAUAUAUAGAGGUAUGGAAACGUUUGUGGAAAUUUUGCUUCUUACUACAGAAAGUAAUUUAAUUUCAGAAUUUUCCAAGCUUAUUUUCAAUUCAAGCUGAGCUUCAGAUACUUUAAUUAUCUCUUGUUGGUUUUAAAGAACAUUUGGAAUCUCUUCUGAAAUGGAUAUUCAACUCAAUUCCAACGUGGGACCAUAAAUUCCUCAUUAUCUUCCCCGUGUUUUGAAGAUGGUUUCCGAACAUGGUGAAAUGCAAUACUUACUUUUCAUAUAUAUGCAAAUAAAGUUUAGAUAAGCAAAAGAGCUGAAAAUAUA